rnacentral:lncRNA from 1 species
AUAGCCAGGGCUCCAGGAGCUGCUAGCCACGCACUGCUUGGUCCGAGAUGCCACUUGGAUGAUCACAUGCUGGUUGCUCAGAAGAGUGUGUGCUUCCAAGAAAGCAGGUUUGUUGAGUCCAGAGAUCUCUACCUCCUUCAACUAGCACCGACCAUGUGUCUGGGACAUGUGCCUAGUAGUGUGCCUUGCCUCUGUGGGUGGCACAAAAGAAAUUGUUCUGGAUUGAAUUUAGAGGAGGAGGCAGUGAAGUAGAAAGCAAAAAGGGCCCUUGCAAACACAUGUGCUAAGCGAACUCUCCAGGCACAGGCAGCUGGGGAGGUCCGUGUAGGAGGAGAAAGGGGAGGGCAAUUCAGAACACAGGUAGCUGUGGGGGAGAUGAUGGACCAGAUGCCAUCAGCUCAGUGAAGAUGCAGAAGGGGGGCAUGAGCUGGACUUGUUCCCACAAACCGAAGCAUCGCCCUAAGUCUGGAUUUUGCAGUUACCUCCUCUCUAUGCUAGGCGAUUAGCAAUUCAUAGGGUUUUGUUUGUCUACGCGUGUUGCUCCUUUUCCCUUUAAUAGAGAAAGAAACUGAGGUCAGAGAGGUAAAAGGCCUGAACUCUCAGUUUUUCCACCAGAGCAGUGGGGUGACAUACACAUUCAAGAGGUCUGCCUUCUGAGCUUCAUUGCCAUGGGCAGGGAGAGAUGCCCCCCCCCUUCACAUAGCAGUGUGAAGGGGUGGGGAGAGCCUAGUUUCUGAAUCUCUUUGAUGACCGAGGCUGCAGAGUCACAAGCUGUUUCUCCAUUU